rnacentral:rRNA from 1 species
AUUGAACGCUGGCGGCAUGCCUUACUCAUGCAAGUCGAACGGCAGCACGGAAGCAAUCCUGGUGGCGAGUGGCGAACGGGUGAGUAAUGUAUCGGAACGUGCCCAGUCGUGGGGGAUAACGUAGCGAAAGCUACGCUAAUACCGCAUACGAUCUAUGGAUGAAAGCGGGGGAUCGCAAGACCUCGCGCGAUUGGAGCGGCCGAUAUCAGAUUAGGUAGUUGGUGGGGUAAAGGCUCACCAAGCCGACGAUCUGUAGCUGGUCUGAGAGGACGACCAGCCACACUGGGACUGAGACACGGCCCAGACUCCUACGGGAGGCAGCAGUGGGGAAUUUUGGACAAUGGGCGCAAGCCUGAUCCAGCAAUGCCGCGUGCAGGAUGAAGGCCUUCGGGUUGUAAACUGCUUUUGUACGGAGCGAAAAGGCUCUCUCUAAUACAGGGGGCUCAUGACGGUACCGUAAGAAUAAGCACCGGCUAACUACGUGCCAGCCGCCGCAGUAAGAC